CAUGCCAGGGCAUGGGUCACUGCCACUGUCCUCCGGAGCCCUGGCUAGCUCUGUGAUGCUCCAGGAGCAAUGGCGAGAGCUGGGAAGUGGCUAGACUGGGGUUUUGCCUGAGCCAGAACCUCUAAGCCAGCCUAGCAGUAGAGACCCUGGAGGAGCCACGAGCAGCGAGUGAAGGAGGCAGAGGAGGCUCUUCUGCAGUGCAAAGUCCAAUAAAUUUAUUAGCAGAGGCAGAGGGAGGGUACACAGCAGAGAAUUGCCAAAUGGGAACAUAAGCAAAAAAAAGCCCUCACCAGCUCUGUGCAUGGGUUUUUAAAAAUCUCUCAAAACAGGGGGUAGGCACCAUAUAGUAACCAAUAAACGAGUCUCAGGGUGUGGUUUUGAGGACUACAACAAAUCAGAACAAGGGGAGGAGAGAGGCUUGGGAUAGGGAUUGGAUCUUAGGGUGAGGGACAGGGAACUUUCUGGAACAAAGGGCAGGGUUUGGGCUGAUGGACAGGGCAAAGGGGCUGGGUUGUCUUGACCGACAGGGAAAAAUCUGGGAAGGAGGGAGGGGAUUCCUGGAGGGACGGUUGGGUAGGAGGACAUGACACAGGGGAGAAAUUAACUGUAAUAACUCGGGGAACACCUGAACAUACCACAAGCUUGGUGCACACGUGUAAUCCAAAAGGUGAACUAAAGGACACCAAGGUAGAGGAGAGGCCUUCUUCAAAGAAGAACCCCAAA